GAGGGAGUAGCUCAAGUGGUAGAGCACGUGCUCACCAUGCACAAGGUCCUGGGUUCAAUCCCUGGUACCUCC
rnacentral:tRNA from 1 species